rnacentral:lncRNA from 1 species
UGACAGAGAGAAGCUAUCUUUCGGACAUACUUUAUUCAGAUUGGUAUAGUCGAUAUAGAUUCUUCAUUUUUUGUUAGUUUUUCUCACCAUUACGAUAUUGACGAGCUAAUCGAGAUAGUUGGCUUCUUUGAUGAAGUAGGCUGCAAGAAGCUUAUCGACUUCUUCUUUAAUGAUCUUCUACCUCUCCGAGGCAAAGAAUUUUUUUCUGUCUCAUCGGUUUAACUUUCAGAUCGAUAUCUAAUUAGUGAGUAAUCACUUUCGAGGGAAUCCCUGGCAUGUCGGUUGUCGACUAAGUAAAAACAUCGGCAUUUGCUCCCAGCAAGCCUAUCAAUUGCUUCAUCUCC